rnacentral:rRNA from 1 species
GAUCAUAGGCUCGGGAUGAACGCUAGCUACAGGCUUAACACAUGCAAGUCGAGGGGCAGCAUGGUCUUAGCUUGCUAAGGCCGAUGGCGACCGGCGCACGGGUGAGUAACACGUAUCCAACCUGCCGUCUACUCUUGGACAGCCUUCUGAAAGGAAGAUUAAUACAAGAUGGCAUCAUGAGUCCGCAUGUUCACAUGAUUAAAGGUAUUCCGGUAGACGAUGGGG